GCCACCUUAGCUCAUUCGGUAGAGCAUCUGUUUUGUAACCAGAAGGUGCGGGGUUCGAAUCCCCGAGGUGGCUC
rnacentral:tRNA from 1 species